rnacentral:rRNA from 1 species
CCUUUUGUAUAAUGGGUCAGCGACUUAUAUUCUGUAGCAAGGUUAACCGAAUAGGGGAGCCGAAGGGAAACCGAGUCUUAACUGGGCGUUAAGUUGCAGGGUAUAGACCCGAAACCCGGUGAUCUAGCCAUGGGCAGGUUGAAGGUUGGGUAACACUAACUGGAGGACCGAACCGACUAAUGUUGAAAAAUUAGCGGAUGACUUGUGGCUGGGGGUGAAAGGCCAAUCAAACCGGGAGAUAGCUGGUUCUCCCCGAAAGCUAUUUAGGUAGCGCCUCGUGAAUUCAUCUCCGGGGGUAGAGCACUGUUUCGGCAAGGGGGUCAUCCCGACUUACCAACCCGAUGCAAACUGCGAAUACCGGAGAAUGUUAUCACGGGAGACACACGGCGGGUGCUAACGUCCGUCGUGAAGAGGGAAACAACCCAGACCGCCAGCUAAGGUCCCAAAGUCAUGGUUAAGUGGGAAACGAUGUGGGAAGGCCCAGACAGCCAGGAUGUUGGCUUAGAAGCAGCCAUCAUUUAAAGAAAGCGUAAUAGCUCACUGGUCGAGUCGGCCUGCGCGGAAGAUGUAACGGGGCUAAACCAUGCACCGAAGCUGCGGCAGCGACGCUGAUGCGUUGUUGGGUAGGGGAGCGUUCUGUAAGCCUGCG